GCUGGUGUAGCUCAGUGGCAGAGCAGUGGUAUCGUAAACCAUCGACGGUAGUCCGAUUCUACCCACCAGCU
rnacentral:tRNA from 1 species